rnacentral:rRNA from 1 species
UACGUAGGAGACGAGCGUUGUCCGGAGUUACUGGGCGUAAAGGGUGCGCAGGUGGCGGCGCGCGUGGGGGGUGAAAUCGCCCGGCUUAACUGGGCGGGGGCCUUCCAGACGGCGUGGCUUGAGCAGCGGAGGGGGACGUGGAAUUCCGGGUGGAGCGGUGAAAUGCGUAGAGAUGUGGAGGAACACCAGUGGCGAAGGCGGCUCUUUGGUCUGUAACUGACGCUGAGGCGCGAAAGCGUGGGGAUCAAACAGG